CAGAAGGUUAAGGGCCUACAAUUAAGACUGAGAGAUCUUCACCUAGGACAUGUUGUGACAAAACAUCAGGCUGCUUUCACAGCCUGGUCGCAGGGCUGUGCCACUAGUUCGCCACACGAGGAGCCCGGCUCUCUGCCAUCCCUCAGGCACGGGCCUUUAGAGAUUGACAGAGAUAAUGAUGCCGUUGCAUUUGAAAAUAAGGUACAGCAAUUGACCCCAGAGGAGGGAGGAAAGGAAAUUUUUUUGCUGUUGGGGAAGCAAAGGGCCUGAGCUGUAAAGCCAGAGAUGAUUUGUCAGACUCACAUGAUGAAGCAGGAAAGUUCCAAGAAAACCCAAGCAUCUAAAAUCUCAAAUGACUGCUCCACAUCAGAAAAAAAGGUUCUGCCUAUUACUAGUUCUAUCCCUGCCCUGCCCACACAGCAACAUUCACAGCUAAUGGGAAGAAUGCGAAGUGACCUCGCUGUUUGCUUUGAUAAGAAAGAGCCUUGCUUUUAUUACCAGCUAAUCAAAUGGAUUCAGAUUGCUGAAUGGUUCUUCUUAUGAAACCGGUUGAAGUCCUGUGGAUACCUUGAAAGAAAUAGAUUCAUGGCCAGAUGCUAUGUUUAAGAAACUGAAAAUGCUUGUUUAAAUUACUCUAACUUGAGAAAAUAUAUCUUGCCUGAAUACGAGUACUCUUGCUUAAUAAAUAACUAGCUUACAAAAAUCCUUGUGCUGCAUGAUACAGAGAUCAUUCGCAAUGCAGUGAGGAAGUGAUGAAACUUGGUCUCUUCUAAGCCAUGCUCUCAGGGACAUACAGCUAGCCUGGGAAUCAGAACCAACUUGGCAUACAUAUAUGUAUUUACUCACAUUUACAAUAAUGCCUGGCAGCUAGGGAUGUCUUUUGCUGUUGAAUAUGACUCUUUUGUA